rnacentral:misc_RNA from 1 species
GUUGGUGAACCAGCGGAGGGAUCAUUACUAGAGCAAAGGAUAGACAGCGCCCGUGGAGCUCGCUCCCGGGGCCACCCUACUCCGGUAGGGUUUAGAGUCGUCGAGCCUCUCGAAGAAGCUCGGUCCUGAACUCCACCCUUGAAUAAACUACCUUUGUUGCUUUGGCGGGCCGCCUCGUGCCAGCGGCUUCGGCUGUUGAGUGCCCGCCAGAGGACCACAACUCUUGUUUUUAGUGAUGUCUGAGUACUAU